rnacentral:lncRNA from 1 species
CUGUGAUUGCCAAGGGAAAGGGGGAUAGUUGUGGAGGUAGGUAUUGGAGUUUAGGGUUAGCAGAUGCAAACUGUUACUCAGAGAAUGGAUAAGCAAGAAGGUCCAACUGCAGAGCACAGGGAAAUACAUUCAAUACUCUGUGAUAAACCACCAUGGAAAAGAAUAUGUGCGUGUGUGUGUAUCUAGAUCACUUUGCUACUUGGCGGAAAUUAACACAGUAAUGUAAAUCAGCUCCACUUCCAUACAAGAACACAAGGAUUUGGGGACCACCACUCAUCAAGCACACUCAUGAUCCAGCCCACAUAAACUUUCCCAGCUCCUUGGCUGGAUCUUACACCUUUAAUGGGGUUGAAUUUUGUCCCUCCAAAAGAUGCUGAAGUCCUAACCUCCAGGACCUGUGAACAUAAGCUUAUUUGGAAAUAGGGUCUUUGCAGAUGAUUAAAUUAAGUUGAAUUAAUCAGGGUAGGUCCUAAUCCAAUGACUGGUGUCCUUAAAAACCAGGGAGUUGGACACUGAAACAAACAAUGUUUGUCUGAAAUAAACCCAUGUAAACGUGAAGGCAGAGACUGGUAUGAUUCAUCAACAAGUAAGAACAAAGAUUCUGAGUAAACCACUAGAAGCUAGCAGAUACAAAUGAUACAGAUCCUUCCCUCACAGCCCUCUGUCACCUUAUUCUAACUUCCAGUUGUCAGAACUGUGGUAAUAAUUUUUUUUUUUUCUUUUCUUUUCUAGCCAUGCACAUGGCGAGUGGAAAUUUCCAGGCCAGGAAUGGAACACAUGCCAUAGCAGUGGCCCAAGACACUGCAGCAGCAAUGCCAGAUCCUUAAUCUGCUGUGCCACAAGAGAACUCCAAAGGACAGUUACCUUCUGGUAAGCCACCCAGUUUGUGGUACUGUUACUGCAGCCCUUGCAAACCAAUAUGCGGUUCUUUUGAGGAGGAGAGGCUACAGUCUCUUUUCUGUCUCGUCAUGUUUCUGCCUGAACUGUGCUAAGAAAUAAAUUGUAUGCCUAGUGUCUGACAGGUUGGGGAGGGGAAUGCCAGGUUGGCAGGGCUGCACCAACCCACAUGUGUAGGCUCCAAAAGCCCAAGGCAGCCUGGGGACCUCUGAUACAGGGGUCAUGGGCCCAGGUUUUCCCAACCACGGUCCCAAACAGCCUAACAGAACACCUUGACUGGGCGUUUGGCAUCUUUGCCGUGUUAAUUCUUGGCCUGGCCCUUGUCUUUACUGUCUCAGUGUAGGAGAUGAGGGUUUCUUUGUGUGCAACCACAGAGACUCUGGUUGUCAUGGUCUGUUGGUAGCCAUCAGCUGUCCACUAUUUUUCUAACGGUAUCAGUAGCACUAAGGAAUAGCUACCGAAUUCCAUUACCCUUCCUUCUAGCUAAUAUUUCCAUCAUAUGUAAAAGGCCACUGGUGUAUUCCGUUUCACACUGGUUCACUCUCCUGCUUCAACACGUGCGAAAAAUUAACAAGUAGGGAACUUUGUGCCAGAGGCUGAGUGUUCCACCCUCGAGUGGCGAGUGAUUCAGCCUCAAACCCCCUCUCCUCACCUGCCUUCUCAAACACCUGCACCAACUGUGGCAGGGGGUCUCCAGAAGCAGCCAGUGAGCUGGCGUCCAGUACAAGGUGCUUCUCAGUGUAGGAGAUGAGGGUUUCUUUGUGUGCAACCAAAGAGACUCUGGUUGUCGUGGUCUGCUGGUAGCCGUCAGCUGUCCACUAUUUUUCUAACGCUAUCGUAGCAUCACCACCUGAGAAAGGGAGGGAAAAGAAGCAGGGUCGGGCAAAGGAAGCAGAGGGCUACACCAGCCCAUCUGCGGCGUGGCCAGUCCGUUGUGCUCUGGAGCAAGCGCCUGCUUAUCAGAGGGCUGGCUUGCUUUAAGCUGCUUUUUAUUUAUUUUUGGCACGCUAAAGCUCCCCGGCCAGAGAUCCAGCUCGCGCCACAGCAGCGACAACGCCAGAUCCUUGCCCGGUGCUCCGCAAGGGAC